CUCCUACGGGAGGGCAGCAGUAGGGAAUCUUGCGCAAUGGGCGAAAGCCUGACGCAGCAACGCCGCGUGGGGGAGGAAGGGCCUUCGGGUUGUAAACUCCUUUUAGUGGGAACGAAAUUGACGGUACCCACAGAAAAGCCCGGCUAACUACGUGCCAGCAGCCGCGGUAAUUC
rnacentral:rRNA from 1 species